AGAAAAGGCAGACAGAAGAAGAUGACUAAGCAGACUUUCUGAGUCUUCCAGCCUUUCUCCUGUAUUGAAUGCUUUUUGCCUUGAACAUCAGACUCCAAGCUCUUCAGCUUUUGGACUCUUGGACUUACACCAGUGGUUUGCCAGGGACCCUCGGGCCUUUGGCCACAGACUGAAGGCUGCACUGUCAGUUUCCCUACUUUUGAGGUUUUGGGACUCAGACUGAUCUGCCACUGGCUUCCUUGGUCCUCAACUAGCAGACAGCCUAUCAUGGAACUUUACCUUGUGAUGGUGGAUUGCGAUGACCUUUAAAUAAAC
rnacentral:lncRNA from 1 species